AGCAGGCUCCCACCCUGCCCUUCAGAGUUGCAGCAGCUAAUGCUGAUGCCAGAAACUUGUCCUGAAAGGAAGCCUCUGAUUAGGGCCCUGAACCAACUUCCUUUUCGCAUCUGCACACAUAUGGAGGCAACCACUCAAGGCCACUCUGAGGAGGGUUGAACGUGCUUUAUUAAAAGGACUGAGGAUCAUGUGUGUUGAUGUGUCCUGGACUCUGCUUUAAGCUCAGAGAAUUUAGUUUCUGCUGUCAUCACAGCUGGGAAUGAGAAAGGGUGGGGGCUCCGGUUGGUCUCCCUCUGCCUCUGGAGCACACAUGCAGGACAUGAGGCUGUUGUAGGAGCAGCUCUGAAAGCUGAGUUUUCGGGUCCUUGUGAAGGAGGGAAGCUUGCCUGCCUUGGAACGUGAAAAAGUCUUGCUGGACUGAAGUCUCACGGUUUAAAAAUGGGAAGGGAGAGGAUUGAGAUCACACUAGAAUGCACAGAAAAUUCUUAAAACAAAAAAAUAAUGAAAGAAACUUCAUCAGAAUGUGAAAAGAAUUAUAAAGCUACAGUGCUGACGAGAGGGCAAUACUGGCUGUAGAAUGACAAGAUUCAUGGAACACAGUGGAAAAUGCAGAAAGAGAGCCACAUGUAUGUAAUAUUUUAUCAUGUGAUAAAGUGAUAUGUUAAUAUCCA
rnacentral:antisense_RNA from 1 species